rnacentral:misc_RNA from 1 species
GAUGAAGAACGCAGCGAAAUGCGAUAAGUAAUGUGAAUUGCAGAAUUCAGUGAAUCAUCGAAUCUUUGAACGCACCUUGCGCCCUUUGGCCAUUCCGAAGGGCAUGCCUGUUUGAGUAUCAUGAACACCUCAACUCUCAUGGCUCGCCAUGAUGAGCUUGGAUUUGGGGGUCUUGCUGGCCUGUGGUCGGCUCCUCUCAAAUGGAUCAGCUUGCCAGUGUUUGGUGGCAUCACAGGUGUGAUAACUAUCUGCGCUUGUGGUUUUCCAUCAGAUAACCUUCAGUGAUGGAGGUUCGCUGGAGCUAAUAAACGUCUCCCCUAAGCGGGGACAGCCCUUUGAAUGUUUGAUCUCAAAUCAGGUAGGACUACCCGCUGAACUUAAGCAUAUCAAUAAGCGGAGGA